rnacentral:rRNA from 1 species
AGAGUUUGAUCAUGGCUCAGGACGAACGCUGGCGGCGUGCCUAACACAUGCAAGUCGAACGGAGAUACUUUUGAAGCUUGCGAUAGAGUAUCUUAGUGGCGGACGGGUGAGUAACGCGUGGGUAAUCUGCCCAUAAGUGGGGAACAACAGUUGGAAACGGCUGCUAAUACCGCAUAAUCUGCCUUAGGGCAGGAAAGGUGGCCUCUGAAUAUGCUGCCGCUUAUGGAUGAGCCCGCGUCUGAUUAGCUAGUUGGUGGGGUAAAGGCCUACCAAGGCGACGAUCAGUAGCCGGCCUGAGAGGGUGAACGGCCACACUGGGACUGAGACACGGCCCAGACUCCUACGGGAGGCAGCAGUGGGGAAUAUUGCGCAAUGGGGGAAACCCUGACGCAGCGACGCCGCGUGAGCGAAGAAGGCCUUAGGGUUGUAAAGCUCUGUUUUAGGGGACGGAUGUUAUGGGGAGUAAUAUGCCCUGUAAAUGACGGUACCCUAAGAGGAAGCCCCGGCUAACUACGUGCCAGCAGCCGCGGUAAGACGUAGGGGGCGAGCGUUGUCCGGAAUUACUGGGCGUAAAGAGCACGUAGGCGGGAACUUAAGUCAGGUGUGAAAGACCGAGGCUCAACCUCGGGUGUGCACUUGAAACUGGGUUUCUUGAGGGCAGGAGAGGAAAGCAGAAUUCCUGGUGUAGCGGUGAAAUGCGUAGAAAUCAGGAGGAAUACCAGUGGCGAAGGCGGCUUUCUGGACUGACCCUGACGCUGAGGUGCGAAAGCGUGGGUAGCAAACAGGAUUAGAUACCCUGGUAGUCCACGCCGUAAACGAUGGAUACUAGGUGUGGGAGGUAUCGACCCCUUCCGUGCCGCAGCUAACGCAAUAAGUAUCCCGCCUGGGGAGUGCGGUCGCAAGGCUGAAACUCAAAGGAAUUGACGGGGGCCCG